rnacentral:tRNA from 1 species
GGCAAGGUGGCCGAGCGGUCUAAGGCGCACGGUUCAGGUUUACCUGACCCAUCAGAAGUUAUAUAACUUUCCGUGUCAUGAAAAUGGCGUGGGUUCGAAUCCCACCCUUGUCA